rnacentral:lncRNA from 1 species
UGGUGUACAAGUGGAAUGUAUAGUUGAGUAUAAGCCUUCAGUAUGAUUCAGUCCGUAUAGCCAUUAAUUCAGAUUAGCAGUCAGACAGACAAGUUCCUAUGGUUUCCCAUCUUUCCUAUUCAUGAGGUAAUUCAUUAACGACCAUGCAAGUCAUAAAAUUCAAUUCAGUUCAUGUGUCAGGCAUCAGAUUUAGAGCCAGAUAUUCAGCCAUGAUUCAGUUUGUAAGUGUCCCGUGC